UACGUAGGGUGCGAGCGUUGCCCGGAUUUAUUGGGCGUAAAGGGCGCGUAGGCGGCCACGCACGUCCGUUGUGAAAUCGCCCGGCUCAACUGGGCGGGGUCAGCGGAUACGGUGUGGCUCGAGCAAGCUAGGGGGCAAUGGAAUUCUCGGUGUAGCGGUGAAAUGCGUAGAUAUCGAGAGGAACACCUGCGGCGAAGGCGGGUUGCUGGGCUGACACUGACGCUGACAGCGCGAAAGCUAGGGGAGCGAACGGG
rnacentral:rRNA from 1 species